GACAGAGGUGCCAAGCGUUAGGCGGAAUCACUGGGCUUAAAGCGUGCGCAGGCGGUGAUGUAAGACCGAUGUGAAAUCCCCGGGCUUAACCUGGGAACUGCAUUUGUGACUGCAUGGCUGGAGUGCGGCAGAGGGGGAUGGAAUUCCGCGUGUAGCAGUGAAAUGCGUAGAUAUGCGGAGGAACACCGAUGGCGAAGGCAAUCCCCUGGGCCUGCACUGACGCUCAUGCACGAAAGCGUGGGGAGCAAACAGG
rnacentral:rRNA from 1 species